UCCUAGCCGUAAACUAUGGGUACUAGGCAAUGGGACAACUUAUGUGUUUCAUUGCCGCAGCUAAUGUGUUAAGUACCCCGCCUGGGGAGUACGCUCGCAAGGGUAAAACUCAAAGGAAUUGACGGGGGAUCACACAAGCAGUGGAGCAUGUUGUUUAAUUCGAAGCAACGCGAAGAACCUUACCAGGCCUUGACAUGCACGGAUUAGCUUCUUGAAAGGGAAGUGACGCCUCUUCGGAGGUGGAACGUGUGCAGGUGUUGCAUGGCUGUCGUCAGCUCGUGCCGUGAGGUGUUGGGUUAAGUCCCGUAACGAGCGUAAACCCUUAUUGUUAGUUGCC
rnacentral:rRNA from 1 species